UUAUUUCCCUUCAGCCCAGUUUAAGCAAUGACGCCCAGCCCGCAAAGGCCGUUAAACGCCAACCGCAAGGGGCAGGCCAGGCCGGCACAGCACCUUCGGCUCCCCCGCCGCGACCCCGGGAGGCGCCUAGGCGGAGGGGCGGUGCUUCAUGGCGGGGACGAAAGGGGGCUGCCUGCCGCCAGCUACCGUGUCGUGCCGCCUGGAUUGGUGGCACAGGCCUUACAGCACGGUGGGAUCGGCUAAGGGAGAGGCUGGGGUCAGGCCGUCGUAGGGGAGAGGGGCGAAAGGUACACACCCAGCAGGAGACCGUCCAUGUCAAAGAUGAGGUAACUCACCGCUGAGCAUCAGGAUUGUUGAAGCACCGAUUGCAGAAACAGACAUGCAAAGAGCAGUGUUAUACUCCCAAGGUGACAUAGUGGCUUGGAGAUUUGUGCUCCGCAGUUCUGUGCGAAGGCAGCUUCACACGUGUGAAAUUUUGUCUAUUUUGUCUGUAGGUAGGCCUCUCAGUAAUUCAUUUCUUUCUGACAAUGUCUUAAUUUGAAUUGACAGUGCUUUACCGUUUUAGCAAGUUAGUGGUGUUUUUCUAAAGCCCAGACUACUACCACUGCAUGUCUGGAUUUUAAUUUAGCCUCCUUAUGCAUCUUACUUACACCCGAACCCUGUCCCCUAAAAGAACCCUCGUCCUUCCUUUGUGAGAAUAUCAUAGGCACAAAGUCCUUGUACUUUCUCCUAUCUCGGAAUCCAGAAGACAAAUGAAACUUGUUGGCCUUUACCUGUACCUUUUUAAUAAUAAAAAUUGACUUGCAAACAAA